GUGGGAGGCUGUCCCAGUAAUCAGGGGGCAAAACGCAGUGUGCAUAGUGGACACCAGCUGUGGCUGGGGUCCGGCAGAAGCUGGUGCUGUCCUGAGGACCCCAGGCCAAUCUCAUGAUCUUUUCCAGCUUCUGCCACUUCACCCGUAAAACGGAUCUUUUACACCAAUACACUCAGCACUGCUGGGCCGCAUAGUGAGGGCGCAGAGUGCUGGUCACCGUCGUCGUUUCUGGAUGGGGAUGGGGGUGCACUGGCUGUCGUGGAUGCAGAAUAAGUCUUCAGAAUCUGGGGGGCGUCUUACAUUUACAGCAUGGCUUACCUCAGGCCAGACCCUCAUCAAACCUCCCUGAGCCACAGCACCAUACAAUGGGGGCUUUAGUUUUAGCCAAAUCCCACAUGUCCGGAGGUUUCUGGAAGGUUUUCGGAAGAAUACUUUCUCAGCUCCAGCUUACUGCCACAUCCGGAAAUUGUUUUCCAAGUGUGUCUGGGAUUUUGAGUUUGCGUAUUUUCUGGCUUUUUGGAUACUGCCUAGUAAAACACUGAAAAAUA